UAGCCCUGCUGUCGCGAGGUCUCCGGCCGCUGAGAAUCCGACACACCUUCCCCGGUGCCGGAAGCCCAGCGGCGGGGGCCCUGGCGACAGCAGCGCCGCCGG
rfam:Dermacoccus nishinomiyaensis strain M25, complete genome.